UCAGAUAGGAUAACACCGCUUU
rnacentral:siRNA from 1 species